AUGUACGUUGUAAUAUAUUUCGAGUUCUGUGUAGAUUACAUCGUGUUCACCACCCAAAAACUAAUUAUAGUCCGUCACCUCCCAUGCGAGCCUCAUCACCCCUUUUGCUCUCUCCCCUCCCCCCCUCCCCCUAUGGUAACCAGCAAUCCAAUCUCCGUUGCUCUGUGUGUGUUUGUGAUUGUUUUUCACUUCACAUAGUACCCUCAGGGUCCAUCCAGGUUGUCACAAAUGGCCGGGUCUCAUCAUUUCUUAUGGCCGAGUAGUAUUCCAUUGUGUAUACGUACCACAUCUUCUUUAGAUCCAUUCCUCCCUUGAUGGGCACCUAGGUUGCUUCCAAGUUUUGGCUGUUGUGAAUAAUGCUGCAGUGAACCUAGGGGUGCACGUGUCUUUCUGCAUUUGUGUCUUCGAGUUCUUUGGAUGAAUAGCCAGCAGUGGGAUAGCCGGAUCAUAACGGUAGAUCUAUUCUUAGUUUUCUGAGGAUACUCCCUGCUGCUUUCCAUAGUGGCUGCACCAGUCUGCGCCCCCACCAGCAGUGCAGGAGAGUUCCCGUCUCUCCACAUCCUCUCCGACACUUGUCUCUUGUCUUGCUACUUAGAGCCAUUCUGACCAGAGUAAGGUGACGUCUCAUGGUAGUUUUCAUUUGCACUUGUCUGAUCGCUCAUGAUGUUGAGCACCUCUCCAUAGGCCUGUUGGCCAUCCGGAUAUCUUCUUUGGAGAAGUCACUGCUCAGAUCUUUUGCCCGUUUUUUUAAUUGGGUUGUUGAUUUGUUUUGUUGUUGAGGUGUAUGAGUUCUUUCUGUAUUUUGGGUAUUAACCCCUUAUCCGACAUACGGUUUGCAAGUAUCUUCUCCCAGGUGUUAGGUUGCGUUUUGGUUUUGUGGAUGGUUUCCUUUGCCGUGCAGAAGAUUUUUUUACUUUGAUGUAGUCCCGUUUGUUCAUUUUGUAUUUUGUUUCCAUUGCCCAGUCAGACGUGGUACUUGAACAUAGGCUGCUAAGACUGAUGUCAAAGGGUUUGCUUGUAGACGUUGCGUGGUUUCGGGUCUGACGUUCGAGUAAAACCCGAGGGAGGAGGCUGCAGUUCCCCGAGAGCGAGCUUGGCGGGGACCCUGCGUCUCUGUCAGCGCACCUUCCCGCUCCGCGAAGGUCCGAAGCGUGUGGGCGGGGCCCCAGGAGUUCUCCCAGGAGGGUGUCCCUGUCCC
rnacentral:lncRNA from 1 species